GAUGAACGCUGGCGGCGUGCCUAAUACAUGCAAGUCGAGCGAACAGACGAGGAGCUUGCUCCUCUGACGUUAGCGGCGGACGGGUGAGUAACACGUGGAUAACCUACCUAUAAGACUGGGAUAACUUCGGGAAACCGGAGCUAAUACCGGAUAAUAUAUUGAACCGCAUGGUUCAAUAGUGAAAGACGGUUUUGCUGUCACUUAUAGAUGGAUCCGCGCCGCAUUAGCUAGUUGGUAAGGUAACGGCUUACCAAGGCAACGAUGCGUAGCCGACCUGAGAGGGUGAUGGGCCACCUUGGAACGGAGACCCGGUCCAGACUCCUAGGGGGGGCAGGAGAGGGAAAUCUGCCGAAUGGGCGGAAAUCCUGGAGGAGCAACGCCGGGGGGGGGAUAAAGGUUUUGGGAUGGUAAAAUUCUUUUAUUAGGGAAAAAAAAAUGGUAAAGUAACUAGGCACGUCUGGAGGGAACCUAUCAAGAAGGCCACGGCAAACUCCGG
rnacentral:rRNA from 1 species